GGGCGUGUGGCUCAGUUGGUAGAGCGCCCGCUUAGCAUGAUCCUGCCUUGUCAGGAGCUCAAAAGCUCAUGCGGAAGGUCCCCGGUUCGAUUCCGGGCUCGUCCA